AGUGAACGCUGGCGGUAGGCCUAACACAUGCAAGUCGAACGGCAGCACAGUAAUAGCUUGCUCGUACGGUUGGCGAGUGGCGGACGGGUGAGGAAUACAUCGGAAUCUACUUUUUCGUGGGGGAUAACGGAGGGAAACUUACGCUAAUACCGCAUACGACCUACGGGUGAAAGCAGGGGAUCUUCGGACCUUGCGCGUUUGAAUGAGCCGAUUUCUGAUUACCUAUAUGGCGGGGUAAAGGCCCACCAAGGCGACGAUCCGUAGCUGGUCUGAGAGGAUGAUCCGCCACCAUGGAACUGGGACACGGUCCAGACUCCUACGGGAGCCAGCAGUGGGGAAUAUUGGAUAAUGGGCGCAAGCCUGAUCCAGCCAUACCGAGUGGGUGACGAAGGCCUUAGAGUUGUAAAGCCCUUUUGUUGGGAACGAAAAGCAGAAGGUUAAUACACCGCUGUUCUGACGGUACCCAAAGAAUAAGCACCGGCUAACUUCGUG
rnacentral:rRNA from 1 species